rnacentral:misc_RNA from 1 species
GAUGAAGAACGUAGUGAAAUGCGAUACUUGGUGUGAAUUGCAGAAUCCCGUGAACCAUCGAGUCUUUGAACGCAAGUUGCGCCCGAAGCCAUUUGGUUGAGGGCACGUCUGCCUGGGCGUCACAUAUCGUUGCCCGAUGCCUAUUGCACUGUGAUAGGAAAUUCUAGGGCGAAAGAUGGCUUCCCGUGAGCGUUGUUGCCUCGCGGUUGGUUGAAAAUUGAGUCCUUGGUAGGGUGUGCCAUGAUAGAUGGUGGUCGAGUUUGCACGAGACCGAUCAUGUGUGCGCUCCCCAAAAUAUGGACUCUUUGACCCCACACGCGUCUUUUGACGCUCAUGACGAGACCUCAGGUCAGGCGGGGCUACCCGCUGAGUUUAAGCAUACAAUAAGCGGAGGA